CGACGGCAGCACGGGAGCAAUCCUGGUGGCGAGUGGCGAACGGGUGAGUAAUGUAUCGGAACGUACCUUUCAGUGGGGGAUAACGUAGCGAAAGUUACGCUAAUACCGCAUAUUCUGUGAGCAGGAAAGCAGGGGAUCGCAAGACCUUGCGCUGAUUGAGCGGCCGAUAUCAGAUUAGCUAGUUGGUGAGGUAAAGGCUCACCAAGGCGACGAUCUGUAGCGGGUCUGAGAGGAUGAUCCGCCACACUGGAAUUGAGACACGGUCCAGACUCCUACGGGAGGCAGCAGUGGGGAAUUUUGGACAAUGGGCGCAAGCCUGAUCCAGCCAUGCCGCGUGAGUGAAGAAGGCCUUCGGGUUGUAAAGCUCUUUCAGCCGGGAAGAAAACGCAUGGGUUAAUACCCUGUGUGGAUGACGGUACCGGAAUAAGAAGCACCGGCUAACUACGUGCCAGCAGCCGCGGUAAUACGUAGGGUGCGAGCGUUAAUCGGAAUUACUGGGCGUAAAGCGUGCGCAGGCGGUUUGUUAAGAUAGGCGUGAAAUCCCCGGGCUCAGCCUGGGAACUGCGUUUAUGACUGGCAGGCUAGAGUAUGGCAGAGGGGGGUGGAAUUCCACGUGUAGCAGUGAAAUGCGUAGAGAUGUGGAGGAACACCGAUGGCGAAGGCAGCCCCCUGGGCCAAUACUGACGCUCAUGCACG
rnacentral:rRNA from 1 species